rnacentral:lncRNA from 1 species
UGAGUAAGAACAAAGAGAGGGCCCCCUUUUUGCCAGCGUUGGAGAUGCUCGCUCUCUCAUGUACACACAUUUGAAGUCCCUCCCCAGCUGAAAAACCAGAGGGCCCGUGUCUGACCUUAUCUGCAGAUCAGUAUGUUCCCCUUUGAGCUCCUGCACACAUUCAAGCAUUUUUAAUUUGAUUUCUCUAUUCACACAGACACCACGAGAUGAGAGAAGGAUGGAGCUGACAGCUCUCAUAAUCAGCACUCAUUUUCUUUCAUCGGUGUAUCAAAAUUGCAUUUCCAUAUUUCUUUCCAUUAGUAUUUUACUUGUAGUCUCCAAAGGCUCGUGCCGGUGUGAUGGAUUAGGACCAGAUUCAGGAAUUCAGCAGGCACAUACGCUAUGGCCACAAGUAGUGACACUGGAGCCAACUUGCUCGUUCAGCAGAUAAAAGACAACUGUGUGCUUAAGGAGCGCUGAUUAACCGCUCGUUGCUGCGCUGCCUGAGUGACGGGACGGCGGUGGGUGCCUGCACCGAGCCUUGCGGAGAGGCCCUCAGACGUGAUGGUUUGUUUGUGACAAGGACUCCUCACGCCAGGUACAGACUCCUGCACUUCUGUGCUGUUGCUCUUACCAAGCGGGUGGGAAAAGGCUGCGAGAGGUGCAGAGGUGCUGGAGCUGGUGGGGAGACCGGGAGCAGAGGUGUGCUGGGGAGACAUCACGUUGGUUGCAUUUCCACGGACCUCGAGCACCAGCAGUGAAGUCCUCUGGUAGCUCUUUUCUGCUCUGGUUACCAAAAGAAGGCAAUGAGAAGCUGGGGAGACAAGGAGGCAACGGGCACUGUCUGGGGGCAGGGAUUAAAGCCCUCAAAGUCCUCACAGGAUAUUCUGGGGAAGGAGCUCCAGCCUCUCUACCUGUCGUUGCAGGUGACUUCAGACAGCUGCCCAGUGAAGACCACCCCACUACCUGGCGUAAACUUGAACAGCUCCCAUGGAGCAACUGACGAGCAAGCAGCAAGACCAUCGUAGAUCCUUCCUGCACUCCUCAAGUGAUCCUGCAACUUGGGGUGGAGAAACACAAGUGCAGGGAAGGCAAGUGAAGGAGGUUUUUGAAGCAGCACUGGGUAUUGCACCAGUCCAAACAGUUCAUUACGAUGCAGCCACCCCUUCUCCUGUACUGCAGCAUGGUGAGAGCACACAGCUGGGCAGCAGCAGGUAAAGAAAUGUGAGUUAGUGCUGUGUUAAACAGCAAAGCAACAUCGGAAAAAAGCCAGGGGAAGCCCUCACACAUGUGGCUUGUCCCAGGUAAGGUAGCAGGAAGGGAGGUCAGCUGGGUGUAGCCACAGUAUAUCUGCCUCUGGGGGCUUUCUGGGGAGCACCAGGAAGGCAGGGGGAAGUGAGGCAGUCGGUGCCUGGUAGAACAAACCUGCAACAGCACCUGGAGCCUCCCAGUGCCCCAGUGGUGCUCCAGUGCCUGAUCACCUCACUUGCCCUCCAACAAACCCAAUUUCCUUGCCUGAAGCAGUUACAUUUCACUAUGAUCUCCCUUUUUAGCAGUGAAGCCAUAAAUUAAUCCUUUUGAAGAGGUUCCAAAACGGGUGUCUGUGAUGUACUCCACAGUGUGUCCCAUAGGGAUGAAGCGUUCUGUGUGAUGACUCCUGGGCUUCUUCAUUGUUUUGUCCUCUAGAAAUUGUCCCAUGCUGGUGGAAACCCCCUUAGGGAUUCUGCAUGUCUAGGUGGCCACAGGGCACGUGAGGCCUUUCCUUUUCUCGGUCACCUUCUUUGUGUGGUUUUGUUUGUUUUAUUUUGUUUUGUUUUCCAGGUAUCCAUUUCAUAGGUACCCUGGUUUGAAGUCCAGUGAAUCAUGUCCACACUAAAUGGGAAAUGGCUAAAAAAAAAAAAACAGAUAAAAUGGAUGGAAGACAAUGCACAGGUUAUUUAAAAAUAUAUGUAUAUUUAUACAGAUAUAUUAUAACGUAUGCUUUUCAGUAGAAUGUCCUUCAGUUUUGUUACUUGUGUCAUUCAGCGCAUCUUUGUGCCAUUAGCCACAGUUUGACUGACUUUGCAGCUUUUCUUUGAACUUCAAGACAUCAACAUGUGAGCCAGGAACUUGGAUCAGCAACGUUAUUGGGGUUACACUUCUGGCAGUACAACAAAUAGAGGCUGGAGGGCUACCACUGGCUGAAAUGAAUGUCUUACGCUGUCUCCCUUUUUAAAAUGUUCUAGAUGUUUAUACCUCAAGGACAUAAUUUAAACGUUCAUUUUAGCCUUCUGCAUUCUAGCAUUUAAACAAGGUGCUGGUAACACCGCUGCCUUGUUUAGAUUAGGGAGAAAUCAAAAAUCUCUUGUAUUUCCUGGCACUGGGAGGGAGGGUCUUUAGACAUCCAAAUAUUGAAGGUGGGGGGAGGCUCAUCUUGGGAUCAGAGGGCAUUCACUUGCAGGUGGAAGAAGCACGCUUAAAAUCUUGUUACCAAAGAAAACCCAGAUUACAUGAACAUAUUUGAUAGAAGAACAAAACUUCUCUUCAAAGCCAUCUAGGAGAGAUUUGAGUCUCGAGUGUUGGCUGGUUAAAUUCGCCUUUAACUCCUUGCUGCUGGGUUUCCUUGCUGGCCUGUGGCAGAUAGGAGGAGGAGGUGGUGCAGCUCCUGGGUGAGCUGUCUGGAGGGACAGAGACAGAAAACACAGCCCUGAGAGCAGCCUCAGCCCCAGGACGGUGGCCGGGACAUAUCAGAGCUGUCUGGAGAAAGAAAAAGAAAGCAGCGACAGAAAAGGAGGGAUCCUAACGGGAUCUCCUCCAAAAGACACCGCAAAAAAAAAUCAAAACGAACAAAAAAGAGGGAGAAACCAGAAGCUGCUUUCUUCACUACCAUCCUCCGAGUGCCCUGCCUGCAAACAUGACUGACACCACUGGAAAAGAAUGUAAACUUUGAUUUAAAAAAAAAAUAAUAGCGCUUGCUGCCGUUACUUUCUGGCAGCAGAUCGCAUUUCUUUGGAGUAUUUUUAUCUGAUUACGUAUGUAUAUGCAUAUACAUAAAUAUUUUGUUAAAAGCAGGAGGAUGCUCCUCUCCUUCCUCCCCACGCUCGCAGCCGGGGCUGCGCACCGUUCCAGGCGGGCGCCUCCGGCACGCUCCCACGCCGGCGGACGGGCACUGCUGGAGGAAGGGGAGAGCAAAAUGAGAAUUAUAAAAUAGUCGUAAUAACAAUAAAAAUAACAAAUAAGCCGAGUGAGAAAUGGAG